rnacentral:rRNA from 1 species
GAUCAACGCUGGCGGCGUGCCUCAGACAUGCAAGUCGAACGAUUAAAGCUCUCUUCGGAGAGUGUAUAGAGUGGCGCACGGGUGAGUAACACGUAAGUAAUCUACCCUCGAGUGGGGAAUAACGUCCGGAAACGGACGCUAAUACCGCAUAAUGCAGCGGCACCGCAAGGUGACAGUUGUUAAAGAUUUAUCGCUUGAGGAGGAGCUUGCGGCAGAUUAGCAGUUGGUAAGGUAAUGGCUUACCAAGGCUACGAUCUGUAACCGGUCUAAGAGGACGGUCGGUCACACUGACACUGAAUAACGGGUCAGACUCCUACGGGAGGCAGCAGUCGGGAAUUUUGGGCAAUGGGCGAAAGCCUGACCCAGCAACGCCGCGUGAAGGAUGAAGUAUUUCGGUAUGUAAACUUCGAAAGAAUAGGAAGAAUAAAUGACGGUACUAUUUAUAAGGUCCGGCUAACUACGUG